AUUGAACGCUGGCGGCAUGCUUUACACAUGCAAGUCGAACGGUAACAGGCCGCAAGGUGCUGACGAGUGGCGAACGGGUGAGUAAUGCAUCGGAACGUGCCCAGUCGUGGGGGAUAACGCAGCGAAAGCUGCGCUAAUACCGCAUACGAUCUCUGGAUGAAAGCGGGGGACCGAAAGGCCUCGCGCGAUUGGAGCGGCCGAUGUCAGAUUAGGUAGUUGGUGGGGUAAAGGCCCACCAAGCCAACGAUCUGUAGCUGGUCUGAGAGGACGACCAGCCACACUGGGACUGAGACACGGCGCAGGCUCCUACGGGAGGCAGCAGUGGGGAAUUUUGGACAAUGGGCGCAAGCCUGAUCCAGCAAUGCCGCGUGCAGGAAGAAGGCCUUCGGGUUGUAAACUGCUUUUGUACGGAACGAAACGGUCCGGGUUAAUACCCUGGGCUAAUGACGGUACCGUAAGAAUAAGCACCGGCUAACUACGUGCCAGCAGCCGCGGUAAUAC
rnacentral:rRNA from 1 species